CAAGUCUGGUGCCAGCAGCCGCGGUAAUUCCAGCUCUAAUAGCGUAUAUUAAUACUGUUGCAGUUAAAACGCUCGUAGUUGAACUUAGGAUUAUUACAAGUCUGGUUUUGUUGAUUCAAAACUGCUUGCUUAAUCCUUAUCUACUAGAUACUCUAUUCUGUACUUAAUUGUAUGGAAUAUCACCUAGCCAGUGGAACUUUGGUUAAAUGGUGCCUUUAUUAAUACCAGAGUGUAAAAACUUGAAGUGUUAAACAAGGGAUCACACUAUUUGAUUGAAGUGGGGUUCUAGUUAAUUUACUUUGAGUAAAUUAGAGUGUUCAAAGCAGCCUCUUGGGGCUUUGAAUAGAUUUAGCAUGGGAUAAUAAAAUAGGAUUUGAUAACCUAUUUGUUGGUUUGAAGUUAAUCAAAUAAUGAUUAAUAGGGACAGUUGGGGGGCAUUCAUAUUAAAUGGUUAGCGGUGAAAUGUGUGGACC
rnacentral:rRNA from 1 species